AUGGAAAAUCGCGGCGCCGCCGCUCUUCUCGUACCUUCCCGAUAUCCUUUCUUCAAAUCGCGGCUCGGUUUCAUCUCCGCCGCGUUCGUUCACAACCUCACAUCUCCGCCCUCAUCUUCUUCGACUCAUCUUCUGAGAAACUGUUUGGGGAUUGUGCAAAUAGAAAACCAGAGAGGAGGUUCCAAUAGCUCGGGUCAGGAUCACGAGUUAGUUUAUGAUAACAGUUUCAGUAGUGUUUUGGCAAGUGUAAUUGGCAUGGUAUAG